AAUAUCCCUCAUAAAUGGCCAGCUUUCAGAAAGAUAGAGUUCAAUAAAUUCCCUUAAAAUGGGCAUUAUUCAAAUAAUCUUCUAAUCUCUUGUUUGGGAUUCAGAAGGACCUUCAAGGCCUCAGUAUGUCUCAGGGUCACCAUUAUAAACAUCUGUGAGCAGUGAAAACAGGUAAAUGUAAGUGGUGAAGAUACUAAGCAGAGACUACUGGUAAAGGAAGGUGAGGUUGCUGAAGCAGGAGAGCAAAGACUUCCUGGAGACCUGAGCAAUGAGGAGGGACAGCCAUGUGAAGAGGAGUCAGGCAGAGGGCCCUGAUCUGCAGCCAUCCUGACUGGUGUGAGGGGCAAAUGGAAGGCACAGCAGAUGGCAGAGGACAAAAGGAGAUGGUUUGGACUGCCAUGGAUGUAAAAAACAGAAACCUGUUCGAGCUACUAGAGCAAAAAAGGGAAGAUGUAUCCUAAGGACACAGGUCUGAGCCCCCAAGGCAAGAAACAUGACCUCAGCAAAGUCUAGAACCAGGGCUGCAAAGCCACCAGGGGUAGAAGACCCUCAGAAUAUCCUGAGAAAGUCGGGACACCGCCUGUCUGCCCUGGUCACAGCAGUAUUUGUGGCCAUCCACUGGGGAAACACAAAGAGACUCCCCUUCUCCCCACCUCCUUUUUUGCUAAUUCAGCUCUAACUUGGUUGCAUCUGCUUUGCUGGCAACUUCAUGGAAGCUAAAGGAAAGCAAGGAAAAGAGAAGAAAAAGCUGCCGGAGACUUUCCUGUGACUCGU